CCAGACUCCUACGGGAGGCAGCAGUGAGGAAUCUUCCACAAUGGGCGAAAGCCUGAUGGAGCAACGCCGCGUGAAGGAUGAAGGCCUUCGGGUUGUAAACUUCUUUUAUGAGUGAAGAAUAUGACGGUAACUCAUGAAUAAGCACCGGCUAACUACGUGCCAGCAGCCGCGGUCAUACGUAGGGUGCAAGCAUUAUCCGGAGUGACUGGGCGUAAAGAGUUGCGUAGGCGGUUUAAUAAGUGAAUAGUGAAACCUGGUGGCUCAACCAUACAGACUAUUAUUCAAACUGUUAAACUCGAGAGUGGUAGAGGUAACUGGAAUUUCUAGUGUAGGAGUGAAAUCCGUAGAUAUUAGAAGGAACACCAAUGGCGUAGGCAGGUUACUGGACCAUUUCUGACGCUAAGGCACGAAAGCGUGGGGAGCGAACUGGAUUAGAUACCCAGGUAGUCCACGCCGUAAACGAUGGAUACUAGCUGUUGGAGGUAUCGACCCCUUCAGUAGCGAAGCUAACGCGUUAAGUAUCCCGCCUGUGGAGUACGGCCGCAAGGCUAAAACAUAAAGGAAUUGACGGGGACCCGCACAAGCGGUGGAUCAUGUUCUUUAAUUCGAUGAUAAACGAAGAACCUUACCAGGGUUUGACAUCCCGAGAAGAUUUACGAAAGUAAAUUGUGCCUUUUGGAACUCGGUGACAGAUGAUGCAUGGCCGUCGUCAGCUCGUGUCGUGAGAUGUUUGGUUAAGUCCAUCAACGAGCGCAACCCUUGUGAAUAGUUGAAUUUUUCUAUUCAGACUGCCCCGGCAACGGGGAGGAAGGAGGGGAUGAUGUCAGGUCAGUAUUUCUCUUACAUCCUGGGCUAGAAACGUGAUACAAUGGCAAGUACAAUGCGCAGCGAAGCCGCGAGGUGAAGCAAAUCGCACCAAAGCUUGUCCCAGUUCGGAUUGGAGGCUGAAACUCGCCUCCAUGAAGUCGGAAUCGCUAGUAAUCGCAGGUCAGCAAACUGCGGUGAAUACGUUCCCGGGUCUUGUACACACCGCCCGUCAAGCCAUGAAAGUGACCAACACCCGAAGUCCGAUUCGUCGGCCUAAGGUGGGGGGCAUGAUUGGGGUUAAGUCGUAACAAGGUAUCCGUACCGGAAGGUGCGGAUG
rnacentral:rRNA from 1 species